UUCCGGUUGAUCCUGCCAGAGGCUACUGCUAUCGGGGUCCGACUAAGCCAUGCGAGUUGAGAGGGGUAAGCCCUCGGCAUAUUGCUCAGUAACACGCGGAUAACCUGCCCUUGGGUUUGGGAUAACCCCGGGAAACUGGGACUAAUACCGGAUAGAUCAAAGAAACUGGAAUGUUCUCUGAUCGAAAGCUCCGGCGCCCAAGGAUGGGUCUGCGGCCUAUCAGGUAGUAGUGGGUGUAACGUACCUACUAGCCUACGACGGGUAAGGGUUGUGAGAGCAAGAGCCCUGAGAUGGAUUCUGAGACAUGAAUCCAGGCCCUACGGGGUGCAGCAGGCGCGAAAACUUUACACUGCGGGAAACCGCGAUAAGGGGACCCCGAGUGCCAGCACCUAGUGCUGGCUGUCCAGCUGUUCAAAUAACAGUUGUUAGCAAGGGCCGGGCAAGACUGGUGCCAGCCGCCGCGGUAACACCGGCGGCCCGAGUGGUAGCCGUUAUUAUUGGGUUUAAAGGGUCCGUAGCCGGCCUAUUAAGUCUCUUGGGAAAUCUGGCGACUCAAUCGUCAGGCGUUCAAGAGAUACUGGUAGGCUUGGGACCGGGAGAGGUGGGAGGUACUCCAGGGGUAGGGGUGAAAUCUCGUAAUCCUUGGGGGACCACCGAUGGCGAAGGCAUCCCACCAGAACGGGUCCGACGGUGAGGGACGAAAGCUGGGGGCACGAACCGGAUUAGAUACCCGGGUAGUCCCAGCCGUAAACGAUGCUCGCUAGGUGUCAGGUGCGGUGCGACCGCAUCUGGUGCCGCAGUGAAAACUUGAAGCGAGUCACCUGGGAAGUACGGUCGCAAGGCUGAAACUUAAAGGAAUUGGCGGGGGAGCACUACAACGGGUGGAGCCUGCGGUUCAAUUGGAGUCAACGCCGG
rnacentral:rRNA from 1 species